AGAUUGAACGCUGGCGGCAGGCCUAACACAUGCAAGUCGAGCGGCAGCACGGGUACUUGUACCUGGUGGCGAGCGGCGGACGGGUGAGUAAUGCCUAGGAAUCUGCCUGGUAGUGGGGGAUAACGCUCGGAAACGGACGCUAAUACCGCAUACGUCCUACGGGAGAAAGCGAGGGACCUUCGGGCCUUGCGCUAUCAGAUGAGCCUAGGUCGGAUUAGCUAGUUGGUGAGGUAUGGCUCACCAAGGCGACGAUCCGUAACUGGUCUAGAGAGGAUGAUCAGUCACACUGGAACUGACGACGACGGUCCAGACUCCCGUACGGGACGGCAGCGAGGUGGGAAUAGUUGAAUAAGUGGGACGAAAGCCUGAUCCGAG
rnacentral:rRNA from 1 species